UAACUCCUUCCACACCGGGCUGGUCACUGC
rnacentral:piRNA from 2 species